AGGCCAAUGACACUGGGUAGAAGAGUGAGUUCACUGAAACCAUGGAUGUUUGCCCUUAUUGUCAGAGCUGUUGUGUUGAUUCUGGUGAUACUGAUUGGUCUCCUUGUUUAUUUUUUGGCAUAUGGCCUGAAGUUUUACUAUUACCAGACCUCCUUCCAGAUCCCCAGUAUUGAAUAUAAUCCUGAUUUUUCAGUAGAACACUCAAAACUUAGCACCGACCUGAAACAAAAAGUCAGUAACGAGAUAUUUCAGAGAUCCAAUUUAAACCAUCAUUACAUAAAGUGUCAAGUUGUCAACUUUAGGAUUUUGUUUUUCAGGCCAAGUAAUGACAAUUUGAAAGCAGAUGUAUUGCUUAAAUUUCAGUUUAUUCCUAACAAUGAGAACGCAAUAAAAACACAAGCUGAUAACAUUUUGCAUCAGAAGUUGAAAUCAAAUGAAAGCUUCUUGAAGACAGACACUUCAUUACCUUAUCUUAGACUGGGUUUUUUUUCAGAUAUGAAUGCAGCACAAGCAGAACACAUUCUGAACAGCAUUGCAAGAAAAGGUGAUUGGCCUGGCAAGCUAGCCUGCAGGUGGAGGGGAUCCAUUUGUGUGGUGCAUCUUUGAUCAGUGAAGAGUGGCUCCUGACAGCGGGUCACUGUUUUGACUUUGAAGAAAAACCCAAACUCUGGAUGGCUAGUUUUGGAAUAACCCGAAUCCCUCACUAAUGAGAAGAAAGGGGGAGUCAAUUAUUAUUCAUGAGAACUAUGCUGCCCAUAAACACGAGGAUGAUAUCGCUGUAGUGAAGCUCUUCACCCCCAUCAUAUUUUCCAAUGAGGUGCACAGAGUCUGUCUUCCAGAAGCUACUUUUGAAGCCUUGCCUAAGAGUAAAGUGUUUGUCACUGGAUGGGGAGCACUUAAAUUAGAUGGUCCCUUUCCCAAUAUGCUACGGGAAGUUGAGGUAGAGAUCAUAAGUAAUGAUAUAUGUAAUCAAGUUCAUGUGUAUGUAUCAUCAGGAAUGAUAUGUGCUGGAUUCUUGUCAGGAAAACUAGAUGCCUGUAAGGGUGAUUCUGGAGGUCCUCUGGUUAUUGCACGUGAUAGAAAUGCCUGGUACCUUGUUGGAAUAGUAAGCUGGGGAAUAGACUGUGGAAAAUAAAACAAGCCAGGACUUUAUACCGAAGUGACUCAUUAUUGGGACUGGAUUAAAUCUAAAACUAACAUCUAA
rnacentral:lncRNA from 1 species